rnacentral:rRNA from 1 species
GAUGAACGCUGGCGGCGUGCUUAACACAUGCAAGUCGAACGGAAAGGCUCCUGCUUGCAGGGGUACUCGAGUGGCGAACGGGUGAGUAACACGUGGGUGAUCUGCCCUGCACUUCGGGAUAAGCCUGGGAAACUGGGUCUAAUACCGGAUAGGACGAUGGUUUGGAUGCCAUUGUGGAAAGUUUUUCGGUGUGGGAUGAGCUCGCGGCCUAUCAGCUUGUUGGGGGGGUAAUGGCCUACCAAGGCGUCGACGGGUAGCCGGCCUGGGAGGGUGUACGGCCACAUUGGGACUGCGGUGCGGCCCAGACUCCUACGGGAGGCAGCAGUGGGGAAUAUUGCCCAAUGGGCGCAAGCCUGAUGCAGCGACGCCGCGUGGGGGAUGACGGCCUUCGGGUUGUAAACUCCUUUCGCUAGGGACGAAGCGCAAGUGACGGUACCUGGAGAAGAAGCACCGGCUAACUACGU